CACCACUCAAGCCUGGCUUGGUAUUGGGCGUCGCGGCCUCCGCGCGCCUCAAAGUCUCCGGCUGAGCAGUCCGUCUCCGAGCGUUGUGACAUUUUCGCUAGGGAGUUCGCGUCUGCCGCGGCCGUUAAAUCAUUAACACCAAAGG
rnacentral:misc_RNA from 6 species